rnacentral:rRNA from 1 species
ACUCCUACGGGAGGCAGCAGUGGGGAAUAUUGCACAAUGGGGGAAACCCUGAUGCAGUGACGCCGCGUGAGUGAUGAAGUAUUUCGGUAUGUAAAGCUCUAUCAGCAGGGACGAAAAAGACGGUACCUGACUAAGAAGCCCCGGCUAACUACGUGCCAGCAGCCGCGGUAAUACGUAGGGGCAAGCGUUAUCCGGAUUUACUGGGUGUAAAGGGAGCGUAGGUGGUAUGAUAAGUCAGAUGUGAAAGCCCAGGGCUUAACCCUGGGACUGCAUUUGAAACUGUCAAACUAGAGUGCAGGAGAGGUAAGUGGAAUUCCUAGUGUAGCGGUGAAAUGCGUAGAGAUCGGAAGGAACACCAGUGGCGAAGGCGGCUACCUGGACUAAUACUGACACUGAGGCACGAAAGCGUGGGUAGCAAACAGGAUUAGAUACCCUGGUAGGUC